rnacentral:rRNA from 1 species
GACGGAAGGUGCAAGCGUUGCUCGGAAUCGCUGGGCGUAAAGCGUGCGCAGGCGGUUCGUUGUGUCGGUGGUGAAAGCCCCGGGCUUAACCUGGGAAUGGCCAUGGAAACUGGCGAACUGGAGUGUGGCAGAGGGGGGUGGAAUUCCGCGUGUAGCAGUGAAAUGCGUAGAGAUGCGGAGGAACACCGAUGGCGAAGGCAGCCCCCUGGGCUAACACUGACGCUCAGGCACGAAAGCGUGGGGAGCAAACAGG